CGGGAUGGACGUACCGCUGGUGCACCAGUUGUUCCGCCAGGAGCAUGGCUGGGUAGCUACGUACGGAAGGGAUAAGCGCUGAAAGCAUCUAAGCGUGAAGCCCCCCUCAAGAUGAGAUUUCCCAAUUAGUAAGACCCCUUGAAGACGACGAGGUAGAUAGGUUGGAGGUGGAAGUGCAGCAAUGCAUGGAGCUGACCAAUACUAAUCGGUCGAGGGCUUAUCCUA
rnacentral:rRNA from 1 species